rnacentral:rRNA from 1 species
ACGCACUGGAGGACCGAACCAGGGCACGUUGAAAAGUGCUUGGAUGACUUGUGGGUAGCGGAGAAAUUCCAAACGAACUUGGAGAUAGCUGGUUCUCUCCGAAAUAGCUUUAGGGCUAGCGUCGACAUUAGAGAUUCUUGGAGGUAGAGCACUGUUUGGGUGAGGGGUCCAUCCCGGAUUACCAAUCUCAGAUAAACUCCGAAUGCCAAUGAAUUAUGGUCGGCAGUCAGACUGCGAGUGCUAAGAUCCGUAGUCGAAAGGGAAACAGCCCAGACCACCAGCUAAGGUCCCAAAAUAAUUGUUAAGUGGAAAAGGAUGUGGGGUUGCACAGACAACUAGGAUGUUAGCUUAGAAGCAGCUAUUCAUUCAAAGAGUGCGUAAUAGCUCACUAGUCGAGUGACCCUGCGCCGAAAAUGUAACGGGGCUAAAACAAUUUACCGAAGCUGUGGAUACCUUUAUAGGUAUGGUAGGAGAGCGUUCUAUGUGUGAUGAAGGUGUACCGUGAGGAGUGCUGGAACGCAUAGAAGUGAGAAUGCCGGUAUGAGUAGCGAAAGACAGGUGAGAAUCCUGUCCACCGUAAGACUAAGGUUUCCAGGGGAAGGCUCGUCCGCCCUGGGUUAGUCGGGACCUAAGGAGAGACCGAAAGGUGUAUCCGAUGGACAACAGGUUGAUAUUCCUGUACUAGAGUAUGUAGUGAUGGAGGGACGCAGUAGGCUAACUAAAGCAGACGAUUGGAAGUGUCUGUCUAAGCAGUGAGGUGUGAACUGAGUCAAAUGCUUAGUUCUAUAACAUUGAGCUGUGAUGGGGAGCGAAGUUUAGUAGCGAAGUUAGUGACGUCACACUGCCAAGAAAAGCUUCUAGCGUUUAAACAUACUCUACCCGUACCGCAAACCGACACAGGUAGUCGAGGCGAGUAGCCUCAGGUGAGCGAGAGAACUCUCGUUAAGGAACUCGGCAAAAUGACCCCGUAACUUCGGGAGAAGGGGUGCUGACUUUAAGUCAGCCGCAGUGAAUAGGCCCAAGCAACUGUUUAUCAAAAACACAGCUCUCUGCUAAAUCGUAAGAUGAUGUAUAGGGGGUGACGCCUGCCCGGUGCUGGAAGGUUAAGAGGAGUGCUUAGCGUAAGCGAAGGUAUGAAUUGAAGCCCCAGUAAACGGCGGCCGUAACUAUAACGGUCCUAAGGUAGCGAAAUUCCUUGUCGGGUAAGUUCCGACCCGCACGAAAGGCGUAAUGAUUUGGGCACUGUCUCAACGAGAGACUCGGUGAAAUUUUAGUACCUGUGAAGAUGCAGGUUACCCGCGACAGGACGGAAAGACCCCAUGGAGCUUUACUG